GCAAAACGCGAAGAACCUUACCAAGGCUUGACAUGCACGGGAAGCCACCAGAGAUGGUGGUCUCUUUGGACACUCGUGCACAGGUGGUGCAUGGUUGUCGUCAGCUCGUGUCGUGAGAUGUUGGGUUAAGUCCCGCAACGAGCGCAACCCUCGCCCCAUGUUGCCAGCGGGUUAUGCCGGGGACUCAUGGGAGACUGCCGGGGUCAACUCGGAGGAAGGUGGGGAUGACGUCAAAUCAUCAUGCCCCUUAUGUCUUGGGCUUCACGCAUGCUACAAUGGCCGGUACAAAGGGCUGCGAUACCGUAAGGUGGAGCGAAUCCCAAAAAGCCGGUCUCAGUUCGGAUUGGGGUCUGCAACUCGACCCCAUGAAGUCGGAGUCGCUAGUAAUCGCAGAUCAGCAACGCUGCGGUGAAUACGUUCCCGGGUCUUGUACACACCG
rnacentral:rRNA from 1 species